rnacentral:rRNA from 1 species
AUUGAACGCUGGCGGCAUGCUCUACACAUGCAAGUCGAACGGUAACAGGCCUUCGGGUGCUGACGAGUGGCGAACGGGUGAGUAAUGCAUCGGAACGUACCCAGAGGUGGGGGAUAACGCAGCGAAAGCUGUGCUAAUACCGCAUGUGAUCUGAGGAUGAAAGCGGGGGACCGAGCAGCAAUGUUUGGCCUCGCGCCUUUGGAGCGGCCGAUGUCGGAUUAGCUAGUUGGUGGGGUAAAGGCCUACCAAGGCGACGAUCCGUAGCUGGUCUGAGAGGACGACCAGCCACACUGGGACUGAGACACGGCCCAGACUCCUACGGGAGGCAGCAGUGGGGAAUCUUGGACAAUGGGCGCAAGCCUGAUCCAGCAAUGCCGCGUGCGGGAAGAAGGCCUUCGGGUUGUAAACCGCUUUUGGCAGGAACGAAACGGUGUCCGCUAAUACCGGGCGCUAAUGACGGUACCUGCAGAAUAAGCACCGGCUAACUACGUG